CCUACGGGAGGCAGCAGUAAGGAAUAUUGCGCAAUGGGGGCAACCCUGACGCAGCAACGCCGCGUGGGCGACGAAGGCCUUCUGGUUGUAAACCUCUUUUCUGGGGGACGAGACCAGGACGGUACCUCAGGAAUAAGUCUCGGCUAACUACGUGCCAGCAGCCGCGGUAAAACGUAGGAGGCGAGCGUUAUCCGGAUUUACUGGGCGUAAAGCGCACGCAGGCGGUUUCGUUAGUCGGACGUGAAAGCUCCUGGCUUAACGGGGAGAGGUCGUUCGAUACUGCGGAACUUGAGGUUGGGAGAGGGGUGUGGAAUUCCCGGUGUAGGGGUGGAAUGCGUAGAGAUCGGGAGGAACACCAGUGGCGAAGGCGGCACCCGGGCCCACACCUGACGCUGAGGUGCGAAAGCGUGGGGAGCAAACAGGAUUAGAUCCCCCUGUAGU
rnacentral:rRNA from 1 species